rnacentral:rRNA from 1 species
CCUACGGGAGGCUGCAGUGAGGAAUAUUGGUCAAUGGCCGGAAGGCUGAACCAGCCAAGCCGCGUGAAGGACGAAGGUGCCAAGCAUUGUAAACUUCUUUUGUCAAGGGACAAAAUCAGGCUCGAGAGCCUGACCGAGGGUACUUGAAGAAAAAGCAUCGGCUAACUCCGUGCCAGCAGCCGCGUGAAUACGGAGGAUGCGAGCGUUAUCCGGAUUUAUGGGGGUUAAAGGGUGCGUAGGCGGACUGUUAAGUCAGCGGUAAAAGCCCGGGGCUCAACCCCGGCGAGCCGUUGAAACGGGGUGUCUUGAGAUGUCGAGAGGUAUGCGGAAUGCGCAGUGUAGCGGUGAAAUGCUUAGAUAUUGCGCAGAACUCCGAUUGCGAAGGCAGGAUACCGGCGGCGAUCUGACGCUGAGGCACGAAAGCGUGGGUAUCGAACAGGAUUAGAUACCCUGGUAGUC